rnacentral:rRNA from 1 species
UACGGAGGGGGCUAGCGUUGUUCGGAAUUACUGGGCGUAAAGCGCACGUAGGCGGCUUUGCAAGUUAGAGGUGAAAGCCCGGGGCUCAACUCCGGAAUUGCCUUUAAAACUGCAUCGCUAGAAUUGUGGAGAGGUAAGUGGAAUUCCGAGUGUAGAGGUGAAAUUCGUAGAUAUUCGGAAGAACACCAGUGGCGAAGGCGACUUACUGGCCCGAUACUGACGCUGAGGCACGAAAGCGUGGGGAGCAAACAGG